rnacentral:lncRNA from 1 species
UUUAUCUUGAUAAUACAUGUGUUCUUGAAUCUCAGUUUUGAAUAAGUUUUGAAUCUAUUAUUGUUAAAUAGGAAUUAAUAUUAAACAAGUUGGUUUUAAUAUUAAGUUCAUCACUUAGGAAGGAAUUGGAUAAUCUGUUUAAUAAUAUUGUGUACAACUUCAUAAGGAUAGAGGCCAUUCCACCAACAAUUGGUAUCAAAGCUUAAUCUUUUAGACUAUUUCUCAAAAAGAAAAUGGCCUCUGCUGAAUUCUUGGGCGAAGGUGCCUCUUUAGCUAGACCCCUGCCUUUAAUGGGUCUG